GGAGAGGUGGCCGAGCUGGCUUAAGGCGGUCGCCUGCUAAGCGACUAUGGGGUUUAUCGCUCCAUCCCGGGUUCGAAUCCCGGCCUCUCCGCCA
rnacentral:tRNA from 1 species